AAACUGUCAAGUACUACAUUUAUGCUGAUUGCAAGUGGCAGAGCAAUACCACCAAGGCCUUUGUGCCCCAGGAAAUCACUGGGGCCCUUUAUGGCUGCUGACUCUAUUCAUCUAGAAGCACCUUUUUGGAAUGUUCUCCUUCCCCUGCCAGUUGUUUAUUCAUGCAUCAACAAUGAGGAGCAACUGAAGGAUUGUUUCCUGCUUUUCCUUAUCACAAACUUCCAGCUGGGAGUUAAGGAGGCACCUGUGACGUCACCCAGACUGAGGGAUGAGAAGAGACCUUUGUGUCCAUGCUUGGAAGGAGCUGGAAAACCAUCCAGAGAUACCAGCCUUUUGUAUGAAACUGGGUUGCCUGCAAAUUCAGGAACCCUCUGGAUGUUUUUUUGUGAAAUCCCAACCUCAGUUUUGCCUCAGAG